AGGUGAGCUCAUAUACCUGUGUGUAUACAACACAUCUAGAAGAAGAGAAAGGCACAAAGGCAGUCAGGUGUUGGCGAGCGUUGUGACUAGAACAUUUGUUAGAAGGGAAGAUUUUUCUUCUUAUAGUUUGGUGCUUUAAUCCCACGAUAAUGGAUUACCUGAAUAAUUUUGUACUUCUGAUGCUUCUUAUGGUUGGUACAGUGCUUGCUGGAGACAUGUUACGCAAGUCAAUCGUUUAUGACAAAAACACGCCGGACGUAUUUUAUUGUCCACAAGAAAAACCCACCGGCUUUGACAAUAUGAUCGUUAAAGCACGAUCGUUAAAGAAACUGUGCGAAUUCGAAGGGCAACAGCUUCCCAAACAAUACAAAAGCGAUUGUUACAAUGACGUCGAUGAAACUGAAUUCGCAUGCAAAGAGAAGCACCGUAUCAUGAGAUUAAAAGAAGCUAACGAGUCCGACAAUUCGAUUGCGGAUGCGUACGAAUUAUAACUCCGUCGCGGACGGGGAAAACAUCGCCAUGUAAUCUACAAACAACUAAUUAUCCUAAUAUUAACUGGAAACGUCUCAACCCUCCUGGCAGUGAAAAUAAUAUCGACUUUCAUCUGGAAGCUCGCAAGAUUAAAAAACUAAAGGAUUUCUAAGUUUUUCAUCAUGGUUA